GAUGAAGAACGUAGCGAAAUGCGAUAAGUAAUGUGAAUUGCAGAAUUCAGUGAAUCAUCGAAUCUUUGAACGCACAUUGCGCCCAUUAGUAUUCUAGUGGGCAUGCCUGUUCGAGCGUCAUUAAGUCCACUUAAGCCCUGCUUAGUGUUGGGAGACUGCUCCAGCGGUGCUACCCUGUAGCUACCCUGCAGCUCCUCAAAGACAGCGGCGGAGUUGUGGUAUCCUCUGAGCUUAGUAACUUGUUCUAGCUUUCGAGUACACCACUUCCCCUGCCGUAAAACCCUUAAUUUUUAAUGGUUGACCUCGGAUCAGCUAGGAAUACCCGCUGAACUUAAGCAUAUCAAUAAGCGGAGGA
rnacentral:misc_RNA from 1 species